rnacentral:rRNA from 1 species
AAUACGUAGGUGGCAAGCGUUGUCCGGAUUUAUUGGGCGUAAAGCGAGCGCAGGCGGAAAAAUAAGUCUAAUGUGAAAGCCCUCGGCUUAACCGAGGAACUGCAUCGGAAACUGUUUUUCUUGAGUGCAGAAGAGGAGAGUGGAACUCCAUGUGUAGCGGUGGAAUGCGUAGAUAUAUGGAAGAACACCAGUGGCGAAGGCGGCUCUCUGGUCUGCAACUGACGCUGAGGCUCGAAAGCAUGGGUAGCGAACAGGAUUAGAUACCCUGGUAGUCCAUGCCGUAAACGAUGAGUGCUAAGUGUUGGGAGGUUUCCGCCUCUCAGUGCUGCAGCUAACGCAUUAAGCACUCCGCCUGGGGAGUACGACCGCAAGGUUGAAACUCAAAGGAAUUGACGGGGGCCCGCACAAGCGGUGGAGCAUGUGGUUUAAUUCGAAGCAACGCGAAGAACCUUACCAGGUCUUGACAUCUAGUGCAAUCUGUAGAGAUACGGAGUUCCCUUCGGGGACGCUAAGACAGGUGGUGCAUGGCUGUCGUCAGCUCGUGUCGUGAGAUGUUGGGUUAAGUCCCGCAACGAGCGCAACCCUUGUUAUUAGUUGCCAGCAUUAAGUUGGGCACUCUAAUGAGACUGCCGGUGACAAACCGGAGGAAGGUGGGGAUGACGUCAAGUCAUCAUGCCCCUUAUGACCUGGGCUACACACGUGCUACAAUGGGCAGUACAACGAGAAGCAAGCCUGCGAAGGCAAGCGAAUCUCUGAAAGCUGUUCUCAGUUCGGACUGCAGUCUGCAACUCGACUGCACGAAGCUGGAAUCGCUAGUAAUCGCGGA